rnacentral:rRNA from 1 species
CUAAGUUAUACUAAAGAGGGUUGGUAAAUUUCGUGCCAGCCACCGCGGUCAUACGAUUAACCCGAACUAAUAGGCCCACGGCGUAAAGCGUGUUUAAGAUAACAUAUUACUAAAGUUAAAACUUAACUAAGCCGUAAAAAGCUACAGUUACCAUAAAAUAUACUACGAAAGUGACUUUAAAAUUUUCUGAUUACACGAUAGCUAAGACCCAAACUGGGAUUAGAUACCCCACUAUGCUUAGCCCUAAACAUAAAUAGUUCUAUAACAAAACAAUUCGCCAGAGAACUACUAGCAACAGCUUAAAACUCAA